CGCGUACCAGGACAGCGAGAGGAAGGCGCACAGGCAGAAGAGCAGCAGCGUCAGGAAGGUGCCAUUGCGGAGCCUCAUCUCCUCGGCUCAGGCUCCCUUUGGGGUGCUGGGCACUCCGUUUCUGCCAGGAACAGGAGAGGCAGCUGAAUCCUGGGUGCCCCCAGCCUGCUGCAGCUUCUGUGUCUACUCGCUAACGAGCUGUGUGGGUUAGAGACUUCUUGAGGAAACUGUCCUUUGUGGGAUUCCUGUGUUUGUGUAGGCAUCUUCUACAACUUCAAAAAGUGCCAGAAGAUGGAAUUAAAAGGGCGGGGCCAGUGCUGUGGCAAAGUGGGCUAAGCCUUUGCCUGAAGCGCCGCAUCCCAUUUGGGCACCGGUUGAGUCCCGACUGCUCCUCUUCUGAUCCAGCUCUCUGCUAUGACCUGGGAAAGCAAUGGAGGAUGGCCCAAGUCCUUGGGCCCCUGCACCCAUUUGGGAGACCUGGAAGGAACUCUUGGCUCCUGGCUUCGAAGUAGUUCAACUCUGGCUGUUGCAGCCAUUUGGGUAGUGAACCAGCAGAUGGAAGACCUCUCUCUUUAUCCAAAA